rnacentral:rRNA from 1 species
GCGGGGGGGGGGUGCUAUACAUGCAGUCGAGCGAUCGUAAGGGAGCUUGCUCCCGAGAUUAGCGGCGGACGGGUGAGUAACACGUGGGCAACCUACCUGUAAGACUGGGAUAACUUCGGGAAACCGGAGCUAAUACCGGAUAACAUAUGAGACCACAUGGUCUUAUAUUAAAAGAUGGCUUCUCGCUAUCACUUACGGAUGGGCCCGCGGCGCAUUAGCUAGUUGGUGAGGUAACGGCUCACCAAGGCAACGAUGCGUAGCCGACCUGAGAGGGUGAUCGGCCACACUGGGACUGAGACACGGCCCAGACUCCUACGGGAGGCAGCAGUAGGGAAUCUUCCGCAAUGGACGAAAGUCUGACGGAGCAACGCCGCGUGAGCGAAGAAGGUCUUCGGAUCGUAAAGCUCUGUUGUUAGGGAAGAACAAGUAUCGUUCGAAUAGGGCGGUACCUUGACGGUACCUAACCAGAAAGCCACGGCUAACUACGUGCCAGCAGCCGCGGUAAUACGUAGGUGGCAAGCGUUAUCCGGAAUUAUUGGGCGUAAAGCGCGCGCAGGCGGUCCUUUAAGUCUGAUGUGAAAGCCCACGGCUCAACCGUGGAGGGUCAUUGGAAACUGGGGGACUUGAGUGCAGAAGAGGAGAGCGGAAUUCCACGUGUAGCGGUGAAAUGCGUAGAGAUGUGGAGGAACACCAGUGGCGAAGGCGGCUCUCUGGUCUGUAACUGACGCUGAGGCGCGAAAGCGUGGGGAGCGAACAGGAUUAGAUACCCUGGUAGUCCACGCCGUAAACGAUGAGUGCUAAGUGUUAGAGGGUUUCCGCCCUUUAGUGCUGAAGUCGACGCAUUAAGCACUCCGCCUGGGGAGUACGGUCGCAAGACUGAACUCAAGGAGUUGACGGGGCCGCACAGCGGUGGAGCAUGUGGUUUACUCGAAGCACGCGAGAUCUGACCAGUCUGACAUCCUCUGACACUCUAGAGAUACGACGUUACCAUUCGGGACAGAUGACAGUGUGCAUGCAUGUCGUCAGCCUCGUGUCGUGAGAUGUUGGCUUAGUCCG